GGGUUGUGAGGUUAAGCGACUAAGCGUACACGGUGGAUGCCCUGGCAGUCAGAGGCGAUGAAGGACGUGCUAAUCUGCGAAAAGCGUCGGUAAGGUGAUAUGAACCGUUACAGCCGGCGAUGUCCGAAUGGGGAAACCCAGUGCAAUUCGUUGCACUAUCGUUAACUGAAUACAUAGGUUAACGAGGCGAACCGGGGGAACUGAAACAUCUAAGUACCCCGAGGAAAAGAAAUCAACCGAGAUUCCCCCAGUAGCGGCGAGCGAACGGGGAGCAGCCCAGAGUCUGAAUCAGCUUGUGUGUUAGUGGAACGGUCUGGAAAGUCCGACGGUACAGGGUGAUAGUCCCGUACACCAAAAUGCACAGGCUGUGAACUCGAAGAGUAGGGCGGGACACGUGGUAUCCUGUCUGAAUAUGGGGGGACCAUCCUCCAAGGCUAAAUACUCCUGACUGACCGAUAGUGAACCAGUACCGUGAGGGAAAGGCGAAAAGAACCCCGGCGAGGGGAGUGAAAAAGAACCUGAAACCGUGUACGUACAAGCAGUGGGAGCACCUUCGGGUGUGACUGCGUACCUUUUGUAUAAUGGGUCAGCGACUUAUAUUCUGUAGCAAGGUUAACCGUAUAGGGGAGCCGCAGGGAAACCGAGUCUUAACUGGGCGUUAAGUUGCAGGGUAUAGACCCGAAACCCGGUGAUCUAGCCAUGGGCAGGUUGAAGGUUGGGUAACACUAACUGGAGGACCGAACCGACUAAUGUUGAAAAAUUAGCGGAUGACUUGUGGCUGGGGGUGAAAGGCCAAUCAAACCGGGAGAUAGCUGGUUCUCCCCGAAAGCUAUUUAGGUAGCGCCUCGUGAAUUCAUCUUCGGGGGUAGAGCACUGUUUCGGCUAGGGGGUCAUCCCGACUUACCAACCCGAUGCAAACUACGAAUACCGAAGAAUGUUAUCACGGGAGACACACGGCGGGUGCUAACGUCCGUCGUGAAGAGGGAAACAACCCAGACCGCCAGCUAAGGUCCCAAAGUCAUGGUUAAGUGGGAAACGAUGUGGGAAGGCACAGACAGCCAGGAUGUUGGCUUAGAAGCAGCCAUCAUUUAAAGAAAGCGUAAUAGCUCACUGGUCGAGUCGGCCUGCGCGGAAGAUGUAACGGGGCUAAACCAUGCACCGAAGCUGCGGCAGCGACACUAUGUGUUGUUGGGUAGGGGAGCGUUCUGUAAGCCUGCGAAGGUGACCUGUGAGGGUUGCUGGAGGUAUCAGAAGUGCGAAUGCUGACAUAAGUAACGAUAAAGCGGGUGAAAAGCCCGCUCGCCGGAAGACCAAGGGUUCCUGUCCAACGUUAAUCGGGGCAGGGUGAGUCGACCCCUAAGGCGAGGCCGAAAGGCGUAGUCGAUGGGAAACAGGUUAAUAUUCCUGUACUUGGUGUUACUGCGAAGGGGGGACGGAGAAGGCUAUGUUAGCCGGGCGACGGUUGUCCCGGUUUAAGCAUGUAGGCUGGUUAUCCAGGCAAAUCCGGAUAAUCAAGGCUGAGGUGUGAUGACGAGGCACUACGGUGCUGAAGUAACAAAUGCCCUGCUUCCAGGAAAAGCCUCUAAGCAUCAGGUAACAUUAAAUCGUACCCCAAACCGACACAGGUGGUCAGGUAGAGAAUACCAAGGCGCUUGAGAGAACUCGGGUGAAGGAACUAGGCAAAAUGGUGCCGUAACUUCGGGAGAAGGCACGCUGGUGUGUAGGUGAAGUCCCUGCGGAUGGAGCUGAGACCAGUCGAAGAUACCAGCUGGCUGCAACUGUUUAUUAAAAACACAGCACUGUGCAAACACGAAAGUGGACGUAUACGGUGUGACGCCUGCCCGGUGCCGGAAGGUUAAUUGAUGGGGUUAUCCGUAAGGAGAAGCUCUUGAUCGAAGCCCCGGUAAACGGCGGCCGUAACUAUAACGGUCCUAAGGUAGCGAAAUUCCUUGUCGGGUAAGUUCCGACCUGCACGAAUGGCGUAAUGAUGGCCAGGCUGUCUCCACCCGAGACUCAGUGAAAUUGAACUCGCUGUGAAGAUGCAGUGUACCCGCGGCAAGACGGAAAGACCCCGUGAACCUUUACUAUAGCUUGACACUGAACAUUGAGCCUUGAUGUGUAGGAUAGGUGGGAGGCUUUGAAGCGUGGACGCCAGUCUGCGUGGAGCCAACCUUGAAAUACCACCCUUUAAUGUUUGAUGUUCUAACGUUGGCCCCUUACCGGGGUUGCGGACAGUGUCUGGUGGGUAGUUUGACUGGGGCGGUCUCCUCCCAAAGCGUAACGGAGGAGCACGAAGGUUAGCUAAUCCUGGUCGGACAUCAGGAGGUUAGUGCAAUGGCAUAAGCUAGCUUGACUGCGAGCGUGACGGCGCGAGCAGGUGCGAAAGCAGGUCAUAGUGAUCCGGUGGUUCUGAAUGGAAGGGCCAUCGCUCAACGGAUAAAAGGUACUCCGGGGAUAACAGGCUGAUACCGCCCAAGAGUUCAUAUCGACGGCGGUGUUUGGCACCUCGAUGUCGGCUCAUCACAUCCUGGGGCUGAAGUAGGUCCCAAGGGUAUGGCUGUUCGCCAUUUAAAGUGGUACGCGAGCUGGGUUUAGAACGUCGUGAGACAGUUCGGUCCCUAUCUGCCGUGGGCGCUGGAGAAUUGAGGGGGGCUGCUCCUAGUACGAGAGGACCGGAGUGGACGCAUCACUGGUGUUCGGGUUGUCAUGCCAAUGGCACUGCCCGGUAGCUAAAUGCGGAAGAGAUAAGUGCUGAAAGCAUCUAAGCACGAAACUUGCCCCGAGAUGAGUUCUCCCUGAGACUUUAAGUCUCCUGAAGGAACGUUAAAGACGAUGACGUUGAUAGGCCGGGUGUGUAAGCGCAGCGAUGCGUUGAGCUAACCGGUACUAAUGAACCGUGAGGCUUAACCUUACAACGCCGAAG
rnacentral:rRNA from 2 species